UGUAUAGACUCAGCAGUCUGUGUGUUUGUGUAUGGACUCAGAGUGUGUGUGUGUGUGUGUGUGUGUGUGGACUCAGCAGUCUUUGUGUGUGUGUAUGGACUCAACAGUCUGUGUGUGUGGACUCAGCUUGGUCUGUGUGUGUGUGUGUGUGUGUGUGUGGUUCAGCAGUUUGUGUGUGUGGACUCAGCAGUUUGUGUGUGUAUGGACUCAGCAGUCUGUGUGUGUAUGGACUCAGCAGAGUCUGUGUGUGUGUACGUGUACGGACUCAGCAGUCUGUGUGUGUGUGUGUGUGUCUGUAUGGACUCAGCAAUCUGUGUGUUUGUGUAUGGACUCAGCAGAGUGUGUGUGUGUGGACUCAGCAGUCUUUGUGUGUGUAUGGACUCAGCAGUCUGUGUGUGUAUGGACUCAGCAGAGUCUGUGUGUGUGUGUAUGGACUCAGCAGAGUCUGUGUGUGUUUGUGUGUAUGGACUCAGCAGAGUGUGUGUGUUUGUGUGUGUGUAUGGACUCAGCAGUCUGUGUGUGUGUAUGGACUCAGCAGUAUGUGUGUGUUUGUGUGUAUGGACUCAGCAGAGUGUGUGUGUUUGUGUGUAUGGACUCAGCAGAGUCUGUGUGUGUGUAUGGACUCAGCAGUCUGUGUGUGUACGGACUCAGCAGAGUCUGUGUGUGUGUAUGGACUCAGCAGUCUGUGUGUGUACGGACUCAGCAGAGUCUGUGUGUGUGUAUGGACUCAGCAGUCUGUGUGUGUGUGUAUGGACUCAGCAGUCUGUGUGUGU